rnacentral:rRNA from 1 species
UUGAACGCUGGCGGCAUGCCUUACACAUGCAAGUCGAACGGUAACGGGCCUUCGGGUGCCGACGAGUGGCGAACGGGUGAGUAAUACAUCGGAACGUGCCCGAUCGUGGGGGAUAACGAGGCGAAAGCUUUGCUAAUACCGCAUACGAUCUACGGAUGAAAGCAGGGGACCGCAAGGCCUUGCGCGGACGGAGCGGCCGAUGGCAGAUUAGGUAGUUGGUGGGAUAAAAGCUUACCAAGCCGACGAUCUGUAGCUGGUCUGAGAGGAUGAUCAGCCACACUGGGACUGAGACACGGCCCAGACUCCUACAGGAGGCAGCAGUGGGGAAUUUUGGACAAUGGGCGCAAGCCUGAUCCAGCCAUGCCGCGUGCAGGAUGAAGGCCUUCGGGUUGUAAACUGCUUUUGUACGGAACGAAAAGCCUUCUUUUAAUACAGGAGGGUCAUGACGGUACCGUAAGAAUAAGCACCGGCUAACUACGUG